AAAAAGUCUAACAUGCAGUCAUUCAUUCAAUCUAAUAAGUGCCAUUCAAAACAGAAUAAAAUCAUUGAUUUGAUUGUGAAACCCUUUCUUUUUGCAUUUUAAAAUACCACUUUUGAUUUGGAUGAAACUAAAUAUCUGUACAAAGGAUACAACGCAAAGUUUUUGAUUUCUCUCAAAACAUAUAUUUCUUUCCAUGUUGAACAGAUAAUAUCUUUAAUUUGAGUCAAAGUGAUUUGCACUUGAACACGCCCACCAGAAAUAGACCGGGACCCAUUUUUAUUCUGCAUGGCUGCUGGAAACAUCGUGUCACAUCUUUGAUUAAUUUCAUCUGAAAAUAAACAACCACAGAUCGCUCCAUCCAUUCUAUGGCUGAAGCAUACAUUUUCAUUUAAUCUGAACAGGUAUCAUUUUGCAUUUACACUGCACAUCCUUUUUAAACAUUUCAUAAUAAUCUAGACCCUCCCUCAAAACUCCCAGCAACCAUACUCCAUUGACUUUGGACCACGACGACUUCCUCCACAAGAACCAAAAAUCAAACCAAUCAAAAUGAACCACAGACAGAGCAAAGUACAAAAACACACAUAUAUCGCGAUUGUUGUUGUUCUUUGGGCUGUGAUGUUGCGGACAAAGACUUUCAUAGCCAGAUGGGUUCGCCCCUGUUCCCAGUUACGUCCGCUUUAUGUUUCCACCGCAACAAGCGAGUUCAUCCCCGCUAAACUGAACUGCUCUCAAGCGCACCGUGCCGAUUUGUCGGUGGAAAAGGGGCAUUAGUCACCUCAUGAGGAUAGAGAGGUGAAAAAAAAUGCCUUUCACGCAGCAUACUCUCCAUAUUGCAUAGUAACAAUUUUAACUGUUCCUGCAGGAUGCUGAUGCUGACAUUAGGAGGGAGUGUAUACUUAAAUCUCUUAUUAUCUACCUUGGAGAACGUGUUGAGGACUUGAUAAAAGAAUACAUGAUAUCCCAGAAAGAUGAAGCUGAGGAAGAGCUGCAGAGUACCACCAUGGCACUCUUCGUCUUCAGGGACAACUCAAGCCUCCUACAUCAGCCUCGAGACAUCGGGAUAAUCAUUGAUGGUGUGGAAGUCCUGAAUGAGUUGCCUUCUGUGGCAGCUGGAGUGGCAAUGGUCUUUGGACUCUGUUAUGCUCUUAAUAUGGAAUAUCCACGAGGAUUCAGGUUCACCUUUGAGGCUCUUCAAAAGAUUAUGAUGGAGCUUGACUUUAACAAGAUGACCUCUAAGAUUCGCAAACUUAAUUGUGAACUUAACACUGCACAGUAGUGUGUUUGCAUGCAUGUGUGUAUGUGUGCUUGGUUAUUUUGCUUGGUUGGCCUGCAGUGGUAUUCUACAUUCAAAAGUUAUAAGAACACCCAUUUGAAAGGGAGAUUUAAGUUGAUUUCAUUGAUACAUGUGUACAUUUUUUCUUUUACAUUGUACAGGCACAGUGCACAUAUAAACAUUUUUGAGUACUUGCAAAUUGGUUUAAAAAGAGUUUUGGUUUUAUGCCAGUUUUAGACAGGUUGCAGGUUUUAUACCAGUUCUAAAAAGAUUGCAGGUUUUAUACUGGUUUUCAAAAGGUUGCAGGUUUUAUAAAACAAACAUUUCUCUAAUCAUUUCUGCCGUAGCACUAAAUCUUUAUAUUACUAAUCCUCUCUAUUGAUUAUAGUUAAAAUGGUUUGGAACAAUAAAUAAUUUUGAAAUAA